rnacentral:rRNA from 1 species
CGUAGGGAGCGAGCGUUGUCCGGAAUUACUGGGCGUAAAGGGCGCGUAGGCGGGAUCUUAAGUUAGGUGUGAAAACUCCGGGCUCAACUCGGAGACUGCAUUUAAAACUGGGAUUCUUGAGGGCAGGAGAGGAAAGUGGAAUUCCUAGUGUAGCGGUGAAAUGCGUAGAUAUUAGGAGGAACACCAGUGGCGAAGGCGACUUUCUGGACUGUACCUGACGCUGAGGCGCGAAAGCGUGGGGAGCGAACGGGAUUAGAUACCCCGGUAGUCCACGCCGUAAACGAUGGGUACUAGGUGUAGGAGGUAUCGACCCCUUCUGUGCCGCAGUUAACGCAAUAAGUACCCCGCCUGGGGAGUACGGCCGCAAGGUUG